rnacentral:rRNA from 1 species
GAUGAACGCUGGCGGCGUGCUUAACACAUGCAAGUCGAACGAAGCACUUUAUUUGAUUUCUUCGGAAUGAAGAUUUUGUGACUGAGUGGCGGACGGGUGAGUAACGCGUGGGUAACCUGCCUCAUACAGGGGGAUAACAGUUGGAAACGACUGCUAAUACCGCAUAAGCGCACAGGGUCGCAUGACCUGGUGUGAAAAACUCCGGUGGUAUGAGAUGGACCCGCGUCUGAUUAGCCAGUUGGUGGGGUAACGGCCUACCAAAGCGACGAUCAGUAGCCGACCUGAGAGGGUGACCGGCCACAUUGGGACUGAGACACGGCCCAAACUCCUACGGGAGGCAGCAGUGGGGAAUAUUGCACAAUGGGGGAAACCCUGAUGCAGCGACGCCGCGUGAGCGAAGAAGUAUUUCGGUAUGUAAAGCUCUAUCAGCAGGGAAGAAGAAAUG